rnacentral:rRNA from 1 species
GACGAACGCUGGCGGCGUGCUUAACACAUGCAAGUCGAACGAUGAAGAAGAGAAACGCGAACUUCGGUUCAAAUUUCACUUCGGAUUAGUGGCAGACGGGUGAGUAACGCGUGAGCAACCUACCUCUUACAAAGGGAUAGCCUCGGGAAACCGUGAUUAAUACCAUAUGACACAUUCUUAAGGCAUCUUAAGAAUGUUAAAGCUACGGCGGUAAGAGAUGGGCUCGCGUCCCAUUAGCUAGUUGGUGAGGUAACGGCCCACCAAGGCGACGAUGGGUAACCGGCCUGAGAGGGUGAACGGUCACAUUGGAACUGAGACACGGUCCAAACUCCUACGGGAGGCAGCAGUGGGGAAUAUUGCACAAUGGAGGGAACUCUGAUGCAGCGACGCCGCGUGAGCGAUGAAGGAAUUCGUUUCGUAAAGCUCUGUUCUAUGGGAAGAAAAGGACUGUACCAUAGGAGAAAGCCCCGGCUAAAUACGUG